CUUGGCGACCAUAGCGUUUUGGACCCACCUGACUCCAUUCCGAACUCAGAAGUGAAACGAAAUAGCGUCGAUGGUAGUGUGGGGCUUCCCCAUGUGAGAGUAGGACAUCGCCAGGC
rnacentral:rRNA from 1 species